rnacentral:misc_RNA from 1 species
AAGUCGUAACAAGGUAACCGUAGGUGAACCUGCGGUUGGAUCAUUAAUAAAAUCUAAUUGUUAGAGAGAUAAAAUUUUAUUUUAUUCUCUCUUUCAAACAUUUUGUGAACUGUUAUUGUAUUUGGUAGGGCUUAUAGGAUAAUUAUUUAUUUAAUUAUCUGGAUCUAUGUAAAAAUAGUUUUACCUACCGCUUUAUUUAAACAUUUAUUUAUUUAAUUACAAGUCUUUAGAAAAGUAAAAAUUUUGUUUUAACAAUAUUUUUAAAAAUUAUUUAAAAUUAUAAAACAACUUUUGACAACGGAUCUCUAGGCUCUCACAACGAUGAAGAAUGCAGC